rnacentral:rRNA from 1 species
UACGUAGGGUGCGAGCGUUGUCCGGAAUUAUUGGGCGUAAAGAGCUCGUAGGCGGCUUGUCACGUCGGGUGUGAAAGCCCGGGGCUUAACCCCGGGUCUGCAUUCGAUACGGGGCUAGCUAGAGUGUGGUAGGGGAGAUCGGAAUUCCUGGUGUAGCGGUGAAAUGCGCAGAUAUCAGGAGGAACACCGGUGGCGAAGGCGGAUCUCUGGGCCAUUACUGACGCUGAGGCACGAAAGCGUGGGGAGCAAACAGG